CCGCGGUAAUACGGAGGGAGCUAGCGUUGUUCGGAAUUACUGGGCGUAAAGCGCACGUAGGCGGAUUGUUAAGUGAGGGGUGAAAUCCCGGGGCUCAACCCCGGAACUGCCUUUCAUACUGGCAAUCUAGAGUCCGGAAGAGGUAAGUGGAACUCCUAGUGUAGAGGUGGAAUUCGUAGAUAUUAGGAAGAACACCAGUGGCGAAGGCGGCUUACUGGUCCGGAACUGACGCUGAGGUGCGAAAGCGUGGGGAGCAAACAGG
rnacentral:rRNA from 1 species